rnacentral:rRNA from 1 species
UACGUAGGGCGCAAGCGUUAUCCGGAAUUAUUGGGCGUAAAGAGCUCGUAGGCGGUCUGUCGCGUCUGCUGUGAAAUCCCGAGGCUCAACCUCGGGCCUGCAGUGGGUACGGGCAGACUAGAGUGCGGUAGGGGAGAUUGGAAUUCCUGGUGUAGCGGUGGAAUGCGCAGAUAUCAGGAGGAACACCGGUGGCGAAGGCGGGUCUCUGGGCAAUAACUGACGCUGAGGAGCGAAAGCGUGGGGAGCGAACAGG